GGAAUUUUCAAGGAAGUAAUUUCUUGAAGAGUAGGGAAUUUGUGGAAGUCAAUACAAUUGGAAUAUUUAGCUGAGCUUCGAUUUUGUGCAAAGUGUUUUCAUAUUCACAUUGCACUUUUUCUACCACCUGAACAGGUGUCUUAGGGGUGCUUUUCGUGUUUAUGUGAUGGAAGGGGGGGGGAGGCAGCACUUUCCUUGCGAUAGUAAUUUCUAGUAGUAAUGGCUAUACAGGAUACUUUGACGAAAUGAAAUUGUUUAAAAAAGCUCUAACCGCUCACGAGGUUCUAAAACUUUAUCGUCUUAAAGUAGUUUAAAAAAAGUGACAAUGAAACAGUUAAGAACCUUGAAAAUCGAACUUAAACGUUAUUUGGACCUGAUAAAAGUUAUGAUUAGGUUUAAUAAUAAGUGAAAUGUUAUUGGGACUUGGAAAUUUUUACAUGGUGCAUUCAUUAAAAACGUAAUUAGGUCAUGGGUGGAAUAGAAAUUUCGUUCAAAUGUAAUGAUUAAAAAAAAAUUGUGAUUAAAAAGUUAUUAGAG